UUUCCGUAGGUGAACCUGCGGAAGGAUCAUUACAGAGUUCAUGCCCUCACGGGUAGAUCUCCCACCCUUGAAUAUUUAUACCUUAGUUGCUUUGGCAGGCCGGGGAAACACCAUGGGCUCCGGCUUAUGCGUGCCUGCCAGAGGAAACAAACUCUGUUUUUAGUGAUGUCUGAGUACUAUAUAAUAGUUAAAACUUUCAACAACGGAUCUCUUGGUUCUGGCAUCGAUGGAGAACGCAGC
rnacentral:misc_RNA from 1 species